AUUGAACGCUGGCGGCAUGCUUUACACAUGCAAGUCGAACGGUAACAGGGUGCUUGCACCGCUGACGAGUGGCGAACGGGUGAGUAAUGCGUCGGAACGUGCCGAGUAGUGGGGGAUAACGCAGCGAAAGUUGUGCUAAUGCCGCAUACGUACUGAGGAAGAAAGUGGGGGACCUUUGGGCCUCACGCUAUUCGAGCGGCCGAAGUCUGAUUAGCUAGUAGGUGGGGUAAAGGCUCACCUAGGCGACGAUCAGUAGCGGGUCGGAGAGGAUGAUCCGCCACACUGGGACUGAGACACGGCCCAGACUCCUACGGGAGGCAGCAGUGGGGAAUUUUGGACAAUGGGCGAAAGCCUGAUCCAACCAUGCCGCGUGUCUGAAGAAGGCCUUCGGGUUGUAAAGGACUUUUGUCGGGGAGGAAAUCCCCAGCGUUAAUACCGCUGGGGGAUGACAGUACCUGAAGAAUAAGCACCGGCUAACUACGUGCCAGCAGCCGCGGUAACAC
rnacentral:rRNA from 1 species